AUUGAACGCUGGCGGCGUGCUUAACACAUGCAAGUCGAUCGGUAACAGGUGUAGCAAUACAUGCUGACGAGAGGCGGACGGGUGAGUAAUGCUUGGGAAUCUGCCUAUUAGUGGGGGACAACCCGGGGAAACUCGGGCUAAUACCGCAUACGCUCUACGGAGGAAAGCCGGGGACCGCAAGGCCUGGCGCUAAUAGAUGAGCCCAAGUCGGAUUAGCUAGUUGGUAGGGAACGGCCUACCAAGGCGACAAUCCGUAGCUGGUCUGAGAGGACGACCAGCCACACCGGAACUGAGACACGGUCCGGACUCCUACGGGAGGCAGCAGUGGGGAAUAUUGGACAAUGGGGGCAACCCUGAUCCAGCGACGCCGCGUGGGUGAAGAAGGCCUGCGGGUUGUAAAGCCCUUUCGGUGGGGAAGAAAGUCUCGACCUAAUACGUCGGGACCUUGACGUAACCCACUAAAGAAGCACGGCUAACUCUGUGCCAGCAGCCG
rnacentral:rRNA from 1 species